AUUGAACGCUGGCGGCAGGCUUAACACAUGCAAGUCGAGCGGGGGAGGUUGCUUCGGUAACUGACCUAGCGGCGGACGGGUGAGUAAUGCUUAGGAAUCUGCCUAUUAGUGGGGGACAACAUUCCGAAAGGGAUGCUAAUACCGCAUACGCCCUACGGGGGAAAGCAGGGGAUCUUCGGACCUUGCGCUAAUAGAUGAGCCUAAGUCGGAUUAGCUAGUUGGUGGGGUAAAGGCCUACCAAGGCGACGAUCUGUAGCGGGUCUGAGAGGAUGAGCCGCCACACUGGGAAGGAGACACGGCCCAGACUCCUACGGGAGGCAGCAGUGGGGAAUAUUGGACAAUGGGCGGAAGCCUGAUCCAGCCAUGCCGCGUGUGUGAAGAAGGCCUUUUGGUUGUAAAGCACUUUAAGCGAGGAGGAGGCUCUUAAGGUUAAUACCCUUGAUGAGUGGACGUUACUCGCAGAAUAAGCACCGGCUGACUCUGUGCCAGCCGCCGCCGUAAGAC
rnacentral:rRNA from 1 species